GACGAACGCUGGCGGCGUGCUUAACGCAUGCAAGUCGAACGGAAAGGCCUCUUUCGGGGGGUACUCGAGUGGCGAACGGGUGAGUAACACGUGAGUAACCUGCCCUUGACUUUGGGAUAACUUCAGGAAACUGGGGCUAAUACCGGAUAGGAGCUCCUGCUGCAUGGUGGGGGUUGGAAAGUUUCGGCGGUUGGGGAUGGACUCGCGGCUUAUCAGCUUGUUGGUGGGGUAGUGGCUUACCAAGGCUUUGACGGGUAGCCGGCCUGAGAGGGUGACCGGCCACAUUGGGACUGAGAUACGGCCCAGACUCCUACGGGAGGCAGCAGUGGGGAAUAUUGCACAAUGGGUGGAAGCCGGAUGCAGCAACGCCGUGUGCGGGAUGACGGCCUUCGGGUUGUAAACCGCUUUCGCUCAUGACGAAGCUUUGUGUGACGGUAGUGGGUAAAGAAGCACCGGCUAACUACGUG
rnacentral:rRNA from 1 species